ACCCUCAUAGCUUAAUAAAAGUAUAGCGCUGAAAACGCUAAGAUGAACCCUAAAAAGUUCUGUGGGUA
rnacentral:tRNA from 1 species